GGGAUUGUGGCUCAGUGGUAGAGCGCUCGCCUAGCACGCAAGAGACCCUGGGUUCAAUCCUCAGCGCCA
rnacentral:tRNA from 1 species